AUGCAAGGGUGGUAGGGUGGUGAAGUCAACAUGCUAAGAGGCGCUGGUCUUCAAGGAAGCAGACAUCCAGAGGCAACUCCUACAGAGUGCCACGGACAAACAGAUGUGUCACCCUGGGGUUGUUUUUGAUCAGUUCAAGAAGCACUUCUGCUGCAACUGUUGGUCCUGAUAAUCAUCUAAACUGCCUGCGCUGGCUCAGGGCCUUAUCACGAGUGUCCAGACGGGCAAGGCAGCCUUCGCUUCCAUACAUUUUCUGGAACAUCCAAUGACUGCACCAUGACCUCCCUAACCCCAAUCGCAUACAAAGCAGGAAGACUUGCAGCAAGUCUGGCCCCUGAGAGCUGAGGUGGGUUUGGCAGGAAGGCUUGGCAGCCCCUCAGGUCAGAAGUCUACACCUAGGGCCUCUGUGCUCCUGAACCCGUUGGCCACCCUCAGAUUCCAGUCAAUCCCUGACCUGAUAUUUGCUGCUACUGCAGCCAACGCUGCGGGCACCUGUUGCCUUGAGCAGAUGAUAUUGGGACCCUAAAGAACAGUGAGAAAAAAAUAAAAAUAAAAACUUGCCAUCUCCACUCCAA
rnacentral:lncRNA from 1 species